AACGGUCACUGAAGGGACUGGAAAUAAUGACUGCUCUUUAGAAGUGACCAUCCUUUAGAGGUGUAUUAUAAAGACAUAACACUUGAUGGGACAAAAAAAAAAGACUGUUACAUAAAGGUGACUGUUAGUGGAAGUUUUUCUGUAUUACAAUAUGUAUGUAAAUAUGCUAUGUUUCAUAAUUUAUUACAAUUAAGUAAGAUUAAAAAUAUUAAAAAUAAUACUACUAACUACAAUAUUUGAGUAUUAGCGUCAUCUGAACGUUUAGUUUAAAAAUAAUGAAAACCUUAAAAAAUGUCCCAUAGAAAUACAAUGAAUAAUUCAGAUUCUUCUUUCCUAGCAACCU